rnacentral:rRNA from 1 species
CGUAAAGAGCGUGUAGGCGGGUAGUUAAGUCAGAAGUGAAAUCCAAUAGCUCAACUAUUGAACUGCUUUUGAAACUGAUUACCUAGAAUAUGGGAGAGGUAGAUGGAAUUUCUGGUGUAGGGGUAAAAUCCGUAGAGAUCAGAAGGAAUACCGAUUGCGAAAGCGAUCUACUGGAACAUUAUUGACGCUGAGACGCGAAAGCGUGGGGAGCAAACAGGAUUAGAUACCCUGGUAGUCCACGCCCUAAACGAUGUACACUAGUUGUUGUGAGGCUCGACCUUGCAGUAAUGCAGUUAACACAUUAAGUGUACCGCCUGGGGAGUACGGUCGCAAGAUUAAAACUCAAAGGAAUAGACGGGGACCCGCACAAGCGGUGGAGCAUGUGGUUUAAUUCGACGAUACACGAAGAACCUUACCUGGACUUGACAUAGUAAGAACUUUCUAGAGAUAGAUUGGUGUCUGCUUGCAGAAACUUAUAUACAGGUGCUGCACGGCUGUCGUCAGCUCGUGUCGUGAGAUGUUGGGUUAAGUCCCGCAACGAGCGCAACCCUCGUCAUUAGUUGCUAACAGUUCGGCUGAGAACUCUAAUGAGACUGCCUACGCAAGUAGGAGGAAGGUGAGGACGACGUCAAGUCAUCAUGGCCCUUACGUCCAGGGCUACACACGUGCUACAAUGGGGUAUACAAAGAGCCGCAAUACGGUGACGUGGAGCAAAUCUCAAAAAUAUCUCCCAGUUCGGAUUGUAGUCUGCAACUCGACUACAUGAAGUUGGAAACGCUAGUAAUC